rnacentral:rRNA from 1 species
UACGUAGGGGGCUAGCGUUGUCCGGAAUCAUUGGGCGUAAAGAGCGUGUAGGCGGUCCGGUAAGUCCGCUGUGAAAGUCGGGGGCUCAACCCUCGAAUGCCGGUGGAUACUGUCGGGCUAGAGUGCGGAAGAGGCGAGUGGAAUUCCUGGUGUAGCGGUGAAAUGCGCAGAUAUCAGGAGGAACACCUAUUGCGAAGGCAGGUCUCUGGGCCACUACUGACGCUGAGAAGCGAAAGCAUGGGGAGCGAACAGG